GAUACUCAAAAUCUGCGGCGACAUCGACCGGCUGGAGAGCGAGGCGGACUUCGUUUUCCGUUCGGCUCUGGCCAAGCUUUUCCGCGAGGAAUCCGAUACGCGGCAGAUCAUCAAGCUGAAGGAGAUCUAUCAGUUGCUCGAAUCGGUCACGGACAAGUGCGAGGACGUCGCCAACGUGAUCGAGGGCAUCGUGCUGGAGAACGCGUGAGCGCCGCGAGUGGUACGACCCUGGGGCGCAGCGUCGUGUCGAUAGCCACAAGCGCGGCG
rnacentral:misc_RNA from 1 species